rnacentral:sRNA from 1 species
UCAAAUUACUGACCGUUCCGGUCGCCUGC